rnacentral:rRNA from 1 species
GACGAACGCUGGCGGCGUGCUUAACACAUGCAAGUCGAACGGAAAGGCCUGCUUUCCCUUGUGGAUUGCGGGUGCUCGAGUGGCGAACGGGUGAGUAACACGUGAGUGAUCUGCCCCCAACUUGGGUAUAAGCCUGGGAAACUGGGUCUAAUUCCCGAUAGGACUGCAGGGUGGUGCCUGUGGUGGAAAACGAUUUUCUAGUGGUUGGGGAUGAGCUCGCGGCCUAUCAGCUUGUUGGUGGGGUAAUGGCCUACCAAGGCGGCGACGGGUAGCCGGCCUGAGAGGGUGGACGGCCACAUUGGGACUGAGAUACGGCCCAGACUCCUACGGGAGGCAGCAGUGGGGAAUAUUGCACAAUGGGCGGAAGCCUGAUGCAGCGACGCCGCGUGGGGGAUGACGGCCUUCGGGUUGUAAACUCCUUUCGACCGCGAGGAAGCCACCUGGUUGGAAGGGUGGCGACGGUAGUGGUAGAAGAAGCACCGGCUAACUACGUG